rnacentral:rRNA from 1 species
UUCUACAUCCCAGACAUUUAGGCACCAGAUCCCUUCCCACCUUGGAAGCUAAGCAGGGUCAGCCCUGGUUGGAACUUGGAUAGGAGACCACCAAUGAAUACCAGGUGGUGUAGACU